CAGUAGCCGCGGGAAUACAGAGGGUGCAAGCGUUAAUCGGAAUUACUGGGCGUAAAGCGCGCGUAGGUGGUUCGCCAAGUUGGAUGUGAAAUCCCCGGGCUCAACCUGGGAACUGCAUCCAAAACUGGCGAGCUAGAGUAUGGUAGAGGGUGGUGGAAUUUCCUGUGUAGCGGUGAAAUGCGUAGAUAUAGGAAGGAACACCAGUGGCGAAGGCGACCACCUGGACUGAUACUGACACUGAGGUGCGAAAGCGUGGGGAGCAAACAGGAUUAGAUACCCCAGUAGUCCCUGUCUCUUAUAC
rnacentral:rRNA from 1 species